CCUCAAAGAACUAAACAUGGCUACAGACACGAUUUUGGUGUCUUCAAUCAUCCUUUGACUUCCAAGUAUGUAUUGCAAAAUGCUAUUGCAACAUGAGCAUAUUUGUAGGCUCUCUGUCUCUCUCUCUCUCUCUUUCUCUAAUUCAGCAGUUACCUUGUAUUAUGGAAGUUACCUGUGGGUUACGGAAGCAGAAAAAUAUCCACUGCAAAUCUGCAGUUUAAUGAGUCACUCGGAGGCCAGAAGGCACGUUGAAUUCCUGAAGUAUGGCGUGUCUAGACAACAGUGCAAAGGCACAUAUUUCCACUGUAAGCAACGGGAUGGUGUUUGUUUGUGAUAAAGGGGUUCUGAAUCAUUUAUUUCUAAGCUUGAGGUAUAAAGAUGAGAGAGGGGGGAAAAGGAACGCGGUGAUGGGGUGUGUGUGAUUUCAUCCAUUCAUUUAAUUAUCAUUAUUUAUAAUGCCCUGACUGAGAGCAGAGCCCCACUGUGUCAGAUACAGCAAGCAUAUAGUAGCAGACUGUUAGUGCAGUUUAGCUUCUAAGCAGGUCAGCAAUGGCAAAGUUAACAUUUAAUCUUUGCCAAAAUUUAUACAUGUAUGCACUCUCCUCAGAUAAUCAUACUUGGCACAGGCUUUUAAAACAAGAUAUUGGCUGCAGUUUUCACAAAAUGUUUGUAUGACGAGCUGCUGAUUACUGCUUCCCACUGCAAACACAGUCAACACAAUUAUCCGUGCAGGAUUUCCUUGGUUUGAGGAUCACGCACUGAGCACCGUGCUGGCUCUCUGUGUGUGCAGCCAGCCGUAGCCUCGGGCACGAUGCUGCUCGAGCAGCACGGCCAUGGUGUGCCCAGGGCUGGCUGAGGAGGAAGCACGAGGGGCCCUGUGCCAAGGGGACCGACGGCUCCUGACAUGGGCAGCAGCAGGCUUGGGGCAGCCCUGCCUGGGCACCUGCUGAGCUGCAUCCUUCCUAUGCCUUGCAGCCCUGGGAACAUUUUAUAUAGAUAAACUGCAGCGACUGCCAGCAUAAGAAGAAGAAAUCAUCUGUAACUGGGUUGCUGCUAAUAAAUUCUUUUGAACAGGAGAGUCUCUGAGUUGU
rnacentral:lncRNA from 1 species